CGUAUACGAGAAAUAAAUUUUGAGAUUGGAAAAGGAAAAAGCGAAAAGUGGGAAGAAACUGUGAUUUAAUUCAAUCAAGGAUAUACUCCGGUAGUGAUUCAAAGCGACGAAAAGUUCUAAAAAGGGUGAUUAAAACCAAAAGCGACCGUGAAGUUGUUAUCUGAUUGACAGAAAUAAAUCAAUUUCAUCAUCAUCAUGUGUUGCAAUACCACUACCAGGGACAUCAAAGAUGACCUGGACUUCAGUGCAUAUGCAGAGGAGAGUAGCACUAAAGAAAGCCAAUAAAAUCCUUUUGGAGUUGAAUUGAGACACAACCAUUCAUUUCUGGUUUAGUUAUAAAACUGCUACAGACUAUAAACUAUUCAUGAUGAUGGAAUACACCAAUGCCUAGUACAAUCAUGGCCCAUUAGAAACCAGAACAAACCAUGGCUGCAAAGGAAACUAGA